UACAGAGGGGGCAAGCGUUGUUCGGAAUUACUGGGCGUAAAGGGCGCGUAGGCGGCCUUCUAAGUCGAACGUGAAAUCCCUGGGCUCAACCCAGGAACUGCGUCCGAUACUGAAAGGCUUGAAUCCGGGAGAGGGAUGCGGAAUUCCAGGUGUAGCGGUGAAAUGCGUAGAUAUCUGGAGGAACACCGGUGGCGAAGGCGGCAUCCUGGACCGGCAUUGACGCUGAGGCGCGAAAGCUAGGGGAGCAAACGGG
rnacentral:rRNA from 1 species